GAUGAACGCUAGCGGCAGGCUUAACACAUGCAAGUCGAGGGGCAGCGCGAUGUAGCAAUACAUUGGCGGCGACCGGCGCACGGGUGCGUAACACGUAUGGAACUUACCCUUUACUGGGAGAUAGCCCGGAGAAAUCCGGAUUAAUAUCCCAUAAUAAACGAAGUGGCAUCACUUUGUUUUGAAAGCUCCGGCGGUAAAGGAUGGCCAUGCGCACGAUUAGCUAGUAGGUGAGGUAACGGCUCACCUAGGCUACGAUCGUUAGGGGACCUGAGAGGGUUAUCCCCCACACUGGUACUGAGACACGGACCAGACUCCUACGGGAGGCAGCAGUGAGGAAUAUUGCGCAAUGGAGGCAACUCUGACGCAGCCAUGCCGCGUGCAGGAAGAAGGCGCUACGCGUUGUAAACUGCUUUUUAAACCGGGAAGAAACCCUCCGACGUAUCGGAGGUUGACGGUACCGGAGGAAUAAGCACCGGCUAACUUCGUGCCAGCAGCCGCGGU
rnacentral:rRNA from 1 species